UGAGGAAUAUUGGACAAUGGUCGGAAGACUGAUCCAGCCAUGCCGCGUGCAGGAAGACGGCCUUAUGGGUUGUAAACUGCUUUUGCAGGGGAAGAAUAAGGACUACGUGUAGUUUGAUGACGGUACUCUGCGAAUAAGCAUCGGCUAACUCCGUGCCAGCAGCCGCGGUAAUACGGAGGAUGCGAGCGUUAUCCGGAAUCAUUGGGUUUAAAGGGUCCGUAGGCGGGCUAAUAAGUCAGAGGUGAAAGCGCUCAGCUCAACUGAGCAACUGCCUUUGAAACUGUUAGUCUUGAAUGGUUGUGAAGUAGUUGGAAUGUGUAGUGUAGCGGUGAAAUGCUUAGAUAUUACACAGAACACCGAUAGCGAAGGCAUAUUACUAACAAUUAAUUGACGCUGAUGGACGAAAGCGUGGGGAGCGAACAGGAUUAGAUACCCUGGUAGUCCACGCUGUAAACGAUGGAUACUAGCUGUUUGGUUGCAAGACUGAGUGGCUAAGCGAAAGUGAUAAGUAUCCCACCUGGGGAGUACGCACGCAAGUGUG
rnacentral:rRNA from 1 species